AUUGAACGCUGGCGGCAGGCCUAACACAUGCACGUCGAGCGGAGCGGCCGACGGGUGAGUGAUUCCUAUGACUCUGCCUGGUCGUUGGGGAUAACGUCCGGCAACGGGCGCUAAUACCUCAUCCUAUCAGAUGAGCCUAGCGCGGAUUGGCUCGUUGGGGGGGUAAAGGCCUACCAAGGCGACGAUCCGUAACUGGUCUGAGAGGAUGAUCAGUCACACUGUAACGGAGACACGGUCCAGACUCCUACGGUAGGCAGCAGUGGGGAAUAUUGGACAAUGGGCGAAAGCCUGAUCCAGCCAUGCCGCGUGUUUGAAGAAGGUCCUCGGAUUGUAAAGCACUUUAAGUCGGGAGGCGUUACCAACAGAAGAAGCACCGGCUAACUCCGUGCCAGCCGCCGCGGUAAUAC
rnacentral:rRNA from 1 species